rnacentral:rRNA from 1 species
CUACGGGUGGCUGCAGUGGGGAAUAUUGCACAAUGGGCGCAAGCCUGAUGCAGCCAUGCCGCGUGUAUGAAGAGGGCCUUCGGGUUGUAAAGUACUUUCAGCGGGGAGGAAGGGAGUAAAGUUAAUACCUUUGCUCAUUGACGUUACCCGCAGAAGAAGCACCGGCUAACUCCGUGCCAGCAGCCGCGGUAAUACGGAGGGUGCAAGCGUUAAUCGGAAUUACUGGGCGUAAAGCGCACGCAGGCGGUUUGUUAAGUCAGAUGUGAAAUCCCCGGGCUCAACCUGGGAACUGCAUCUGAUACUGGCAAGCUUGAGUCUCGUAGAGGGGGGUAGAAUUCCAGGUGUAGCGGUGAAAUGCGUAGAGAUCUGGAGGAAUACCGGUGGCGAAGGCGGCCCCCUGGACGAAGACUGGCGCUCAGGUGCGAAAGCGUGGGGAGCAAACAGGAUUAGAUACCCCGGUAGUC